AUGCUGGGAGUAACAGCCCUGCCAGGUUCUGGCGAACGAAGGGUUGUGGCGGUUGUGGAGUCAUCGAUGUUGGACGACCAUUGGAGGAAGCUCUGGCAUGAUGGGUGCGAGCGGAGCUGGUCGCCGAUACUGCAGGUGGCGUUCUUCCGAUGUUCUUCUUUUUUUCGUAUAGAACAACCAAACAACACAACAGAUUUCUAG